rnacentral:rRNA from 1 species
AUACGGAGGGUCCAAGCGUUAUCCGGAUUUAUUGGGUUUAAAGGGUCCGUAGGCGGGAGAAUAAGUCAGUGGUGAAAGCCUGCAGCUCAACUGCAGAACUGCCAUUGAAACUGUUUUUCUUGAAUAUAGAUGAAGUGGGCGGAAUGUAUCAUGUAGCGGUGAAAUGCAUAGAUAUGAUACAGAACACCGAUUGCGAAGGCAGCUCACUAAACUAUUAUUGACGCUGAGGGACGAAAGCGUGGGGAGCGAACAGGAUUAGAAACCCUAGUAGUCC